AUUGAACGCUAGCUGGAUGCUUUACACAUGCAAGUCGAACUGAGUGGCGGACGGGUGAGUAAUAUAUCGGAACGUGCCCAGUAGCCGGGGAUAACUACUCGAACUAUUCGCUAAUACCGCAUCCUCUUGGAGCGGCCGAUUUCGGAUUAGCUAGUGGGUGGGGUAAAGGCUCACCAAGGCAACGAUCCUUACCUGGUUUGAGAGGACGACCCGCCACACCAGGACCGAGACAAGGACCAGACUCCAACGUGAGGCAGUAGUGGGUAAUUUUAGACAAUGGGGGACACCGUAAUGCAGCAAUCCCGCGAGUGUGAUGAGGGCCUUCGGCUUGUAAAGUACUUUUGACAGACAAGCGGUAUAUGCAGGAUAAGAACCGGCUAACUACGUGCCAGCAGCCGCGGUAAUAC
rnacentral:rRNA from 1 species